AUUGAACGCUGGCGGCAUGCCUUACACAUGCAAGUCGAACGGCAGCACGGGUGCUUGCACCUGGUGGCGAGUGGCGAACGGGUGAGUAAUAUAUCGGAACGUACCUUAUUGUGGGGGAUAACGCAGCGAAAGCUGUGCUAAUACCGCAUAAUCCCUAAGGGGGAAAGCGGGGGACCGUAAGGCCUCGCGCGAUUAGAGCGGCCGAUACCUGAUUAGCUAGUUGGUGAGGUAAAGGCUCACCAAGGCAACGAUCAGUAGCUGGUCUGAGGGGACGAUCAGCCACACUGGGACUGAGACACGGCCCAGACUCCUACGGGAGGCAGCAGUGAGGAAUUUUGGACAAUGGGGGCAACCCUAAUCCAGCAAUGCCGCGUGAGUGAAGAAGGCCUUCGGGUUGUAAAGCUCUUUUGUCAGGGAAGAAACAGCAGCUCUAACACAGUUUGCGAAUGACGGUACCUGAAGAAUAAGCACCGGCUAACUACGUGCCAGCCGCCGCGGUAA
rnacentral:rRNA from 1 species